UACGUAGGGUGCGAGCGUUAAUCGGAAUUACUGGGCGUAAAGAGCUCGUAGGCGGUUUGUCGCGUCUGCUGUGAAAACUGGAGGCUCAACCUCCAGCCUGCAGUGGGUACGGGCAGACUAGAGUGCGGUAGGGGAGAUUGGAAUUCCUGGUGUAGCGGUGGAAUGCGCAGAUAUCAGGAGGAACACCGAUGGCGAAGGCAGAUCUCUGGGCCGUAACUGACGCUGAGGAGCGAAAGCAUGGGGAGCGGACAGG
rnacentral:rRNA from 1 species